CACGCCCGGUGCGCCUGUCCAGCCCCAGCUUCCGGACCGCCUAUCCGCAUCCCCGGGAUCCCCGACCCUUCUCCCUCAGCCUUGUGCCCAAAGGGGCUCAGAGGCCGGGGCGCCGUGCCCCGGGCCGCUGGAUACACCGAGUCCAGCCUCGCGGGGUUCCCCACACCCCAGAAGUACACCCCUAUUUCCGGAGGCUCGGACAGAACCAGUUGUGAUGUAAAGAAGUUUGCCUACCCUGAGGAAGAGAGAGGCCACCGGAAGAGAGCAAGACCCUGGAGGAUGAGAGACUGAGAAGGGAGAGAGAGGCAUCUGGCUAUCUCUCAGUCACCUCAGCUGACUAGCUUCGUGAAGCCAUCCUGCAUCCUUACCCCAGUCGACUUGCACCAACAGAGAUUAGCUACACCUGUGAAGCCCUGCUCAAGUUGCAGAAUUAACCGGUUGGAAACUAUUAGUGAGUCUUGAAAGCAAAGUGACUUGCCGUCAGCACUUGAAAAAAUAAAGGGCUCCCAAACGCUUCAGAAGACAGAAACAGAAUGGGGAGGGAACAGCCAUAAUAAUGCCUAUCACAGAAUGUAACAGGUCAUCA